CGAAGACGACUGGAAAUCCUAACAUCUAUCAGCAUGUCGGCAGGAAACAAAAAAAUCUUGUUGCAGUCUCCUUCACUUACAUUUGAGCUUCACUUUUCUUCACGUCUAACAUGAAGUAAUUCAGUCAGUGAGAUGAUGUGAGGAAAAAACAAAAGGAAAGAGCCUUCGCACACAUUGACUUACUUUCCCUGCAGACGUGCUGAUGGGAUUCCCGGUAGUGCUAGUGGGUUGUUAUGUUGUAAGCUGUUUGGAGUUGCUUGGGAAGAGAAAGAUUAUUUAAUUGGGUAAGAUAGCACUGGUAGCACUUGCAUCAACUCACUGCGGCGCUCAGAGCACUCAGCCAGAGGAGGAAAAUCUGUUUCUGUCGGUCCGAUGAACCACCUGUCACCUGAUUCGAACAGGUUCUCCUCCACACAGUCCUCUUUGUGUGGAUGCCCUAAAAGGGCUUCCACACUAUUGAGUUCCUGUUUCUCUUUGUGUGGAUGCCCUCAAAGGGCUUCCACACUAUUGAGUUCCUGUUUCUCUUUAUUCUUUAUACUUUAUUAUUCUGCUAGUUGCUUCCGUACGUUUUUUGGACUUUAACUACUCCCUCAGUUUUCAGCCGAUUUUCUCCGUUCAAACUCUAAACUGUUCUGCUCUUUCUGCUAAUGGGUGCUAUGACUUUUGGUUUAUUACUAUUAUACUUUUAAAAAUAUUACACUUUUUUCCUUUAAUUUGUCCCAUUGAAAUGAAUGGAAAACUUCCACAAUUCUGCUAAAACUUGCUUGUUUUUGAAACUUAACUACUUCCUCAUACUUUCACCUAGAAACUCCAUUCAAACUUUAAAAUGUUCUCAGAUUAUUGGGCUAUCCCUGUCUGAUUCAGCUUUUUCAGAUCUUCUACCGUUUUAAUUUUAUACCUCUUUAAGUUUUCAGUUGCAAAAUUGUGAUUUUU
rnacentral:lncRNA from 1 species